UUUCCGUAGUGAACCUGCGGAAGGAUCAUUACUGAGUGAGGGCCCCUCGGGGUCCAACCUCCCACCCGUGUUUAACGAACCUUGUUGCUUCGGCGGGCCCGCCUCACGGCCGCCGGGGGGCAUCUGCCCCCGGGCCCGCGCCCGCCGAAGCCACCUGUGAACGCUGUCUGAAGUAUGCAGUCUGAGACAAUUAUUAAAUUAAUUAAAACUUUCAACAACGGAUCUCUUGGUUCCG
rnacentral:misc_RNA from 1 species